ACUCCAGUCGAUGCUGCUGGAGGACACUGCUAUCAGAUUUCGACAGCCAUGCAAGUCAGCUCGUUCACUUGGACGGGCGGCGUACGGCUCAGUAACGCGUGGUCAAUCUACCGUAGGGAGUGGGAUAACGUUGGGAAACUGACGCUAAUACCGCAUAGGUUAGGGCUUCUGGAAGGAUUCCUAACCCAAAAAGUUGCGAAUUGGAACAUUACUGCCCUACGAUGAGACUGCGUCGGAUCAGGCAGAUGGCGGGGUAACGGCCCACCAUACCUUUGACCCGUAGGGGAUAUGAGAGUAAGAGCCCCGAGAAGGGCACUGAGACAAUGGCCCUAGCGCUACGGCGUGCAGCAGGCGCGCAAACUCCAC
rnacentral:rRNA from 1 species